AUUGAACGCUGGCGGCAUGCCUUACACAUGCAAGUCGAACGGCAACAGGUCCUCGGAUGCUGACGAGUGGCGAACGGGUGAGUAAUACAUCGGAACGUGCCCGAGAGUGGGGGGAUAACGAGGCGAAAGCUUUGCUAAUACCGCAUACGAUCUCAGGACGAAAGCAGGGGACCGCAAGGCCUUGCGCGAACGGAGCGGCCGAUGGCAGAUUAGGUAGUUGGUGGGAUAAAAGCUUACCAAGCCGACGAUCUGUAGCUGGUCUGAGAGGACGACCAGCCACACUGGGACUGAGACACGGCCCAGACUCCUACGGGAGGCAGCAGUGGGGAAUUUGGACAAUGGGCGAAAGCCUGAUCCAGCCAUGCCGCGUGCAGGAUGAAGGCCUUCGGGUUGUAAACUGCUUUUGUACGGAACGAAAAGACUCUGGUUAAUACCUGGGGUCCAUGACGGUACCGUAAGAAUAAGCACCGGCUAACUACGUGCCAGCCGCCGCAGUAACAC
rnacentral:rRNA from 1 species